AAAUGAAUUUGAAUUUAGAACUCCUUUAUUUUCGUUUCUGAAAUCUGUUUAUUUUGAUUUCUCUGCAAAAGCGACUUUUUUGCUUUUAAGAAAGACUGGAGAAAUUAUUAGAAUUGAACACUUUUCAAGUCAGUUAAACCCUUUUCUUUGACAUAUUUUAUCAGAUUAAGGUUUCAAGGAUACUUUAGUAAAAUUGCCAUUUUUGUAUCACUUGAAAUUGAAAUUAUGCUUACAGUCCCUUUAAACAGUCACUCUCUUCAAUAUCUAACUGUUGUAGGAAAACCAAGAGUUAAAAAAAAUUAGGGACAAGUGGUGGAAGCCUCAACAUUGUCAGGAGGCAAAGCAAGCUGCUCUAAAAAACCAGCCUUUAAGUUUGGAUAGAAUACAAGGAAUAUUUAUGUUUCUUGGUGUUGGGGGACUUCUGGCUCUCAUAUCUGCACUUCUUGAGUUCUUCUGCAGCUCUGUUACAAAAAAAUGUGAGAUUAAAAGAGGUAUUGAAGAUAUACAUAAUGGAAGUAAAAGAAUGCCAGAUGUGGAUUAGCUCUGAAGAUUAUGUAUGCAACUGUAUAGUUCCCUUUUUGUAAUAGAGUUAAGUGCUCAUUUUUCGUUAAAGGAAUUGAGUUUUAGGGCCAAACGCAAAUUUUCUAAUCCCCACAUCUUUGCGAUCAGAUGAUGUAA